rnacentral:rRNA from 1 species
UUAAAUUGAAGAGUUUGAUCAUGGCUCAGAUUGAACGCUGGCGGCAGGCCUAACACAUGCAAGUCGAGCGGAAACGAGUUAACUGAACCUUCGGGGAAC